AUUGAACGCUGGCGGCAGGCUUAACACAUGCAAGUCGAACGAGUGGCGGACGGGUGAGUAAUGUCUGGGAAACUGCCCGAUGGAGGGGGAUAACUACUGGAAACGGUAGCUAAUACCGCAUACUAUCGGAUGUGCCCAGAUGGGAUUAGCUAGUGGGUGGGGUAACGGCUCACCUAGGCGACGAUCCCUAGCUGGUCUGAGAGGAUGACCAGCCACACUGGAACGGAGACACGGUCCAGACUCCUACGGGAGGCAGCAGUGGGGAAUAUUGCACAAUGGGGGCAAGCCUGAUGCAGCCAUCCCGCGUGUAUGAAGAAGGCCUUCGGGUUGUAAAGUACUUUCGGCGGGGAGGCGUUACUCGCAGAAGAAGCACCGGCUAACUCCGUGCCAGCAGCCGCGGUAAUAC
rnacentral:rRNA from 1 species